rnacentral:rRNA from 1 species
CCUACGGGAGGCAGCAGUGGGGAAUAUUGCGCAAUGGGGGAAACCCUGACGCAGCAACGCCGCGUGCAGGAAGAAGGUCUUCGGAUUGUAAACUGUUGUCGCAGGGGAAGAAGACAGUGACGGUACCCUGUGAGAAAGUCACGGCUAACUACGUGCCAGCAGCCGCGGUAAUACGUAGGUGACAAGCGUUGUCCGGAUUUACUGGGUGUAAAGGGCGCGUAGGCGGGAUAGCAAGUCAGUCGUGAAAUGCCGAGGCUUAACCUCGGAGCUGCGAUUGAAACUGUUAUUCUUGAGUAUCGGAGAGGAAAGCGGAAUUCCUAGUGUAGCGGUGAAAUGCGUAGAUAUUAGGAGGAACACCAGUGGCGAAGGCGGCUUUCUGGACGACAACUGACGCUGAGGCGCGAAAGUGUGGGGAGCAAACAGGAUUAGAUACCCUAG